rnacentral:lncRNA from 1 species
UAUUUGAUUUUGAAUCCCAUUUCAUUUGAUUUUGCCCGCGCCAACGGUUCAAUCGGAAGCGCCAAUUCUAUCUCCGAAACCCAAAUUGAGCAGCAGCAGGGCAAGUGAAUACAACGUGGACAGUGUCUUCAUUUGAUUGUUUAAAUGAAAUAAUUUACCUAAAUCUGAUUGGUUCAGCUUAAAAUUAGGCUUAAUGUAAAAUGUGGUGAUACCUAAAUUAGCAUUAAUCAUAAAAAGGAACUCCUUUUCUUUUUUCUUCUCAACUAUUUUUCUUUCUCCUUUUUGUUUUGUUUUGUAUUAUUAUUAUUAUUAUUAUUUUUUUUUUUGGGGUAAAUUAGCAUUGGGAAAAAACAUGUGAUUUUCUAAAAAUCAUAUCAUUCCUUUAAAUCAAAAUGUGCCAAUAUGAUGACUGUUGUUGCUCAUCUUUGGAAAGUCUCAAUUCUUACUACAUUCAAUCCUAGAAUUUUAGUCUACAACAUCACCUGUCAAUCUCUGCUAUAAUCUUCUAGCUGAAGAACAAUGCCACAAACAUUGUGAAUGUGAUUAACUAAAAUGUCUUGAAAACUUGUCGAUUAAACUUUUCCAAUCCACUACUCAAGAAAUUUCAGCCAAUCUACAAAGGAAAUGAUUAUUGAUGACGAAAAGGAUGAAAAAAUGUUACAAGUUGCUGGCGGAAUAGAAGGAUAUUGAUCUUAGAAGCUUUGGCCUCUAAGCACUUUUAGUUGAAUGUACGUCAUUCUUAUUCGAAAAUCUCUCUCUCUCUCGGUUCAGAUGCUGGAUUUAAGGCACCCUUUUCUGUUUGAGAUCGAACCUGCAUGCCAAGGUCCUUCCAAGGUGUUCAUAAAAGAUUUUGAAACGAAAAAUGAAUAGCAUGUAAACCAAAUCUGUGAUUCCCGUGAGCCUUU